UCUCUCUCCAUGGCCUCGCCCUCGCCUUCCUACCAAAGUUAAAAUACCCACGUCACCACGUGAAGUGACGUCAGGUGGCCGUGGCCUCAAACCGCCUAUCAAUAUCUCUCUCCGGCGGCGCUGCGGCGGCUGCGAUCCUCUCCGUUGAGGGGGACGACGAAGCCCUAGGUGCGCCGCCGCCGCCGGCUGCCGCGCGCAGCGCAGCGGGAGGGAGGUAGGACGAGGCCGGCCGCCCCGCGCCCACACGCUGCGGCGGCUUCUUCUUCUCCACGCAGCACGCCGCGCGCGCUGCGUCGUCCUGCGCCACCGGGCGACGUGGGGGGGGCUGCAAGCUUCCCACGUGCUCCACCGGGGGCGCGCGCGCGCCGUUGCGGGGGAGACUCGAACCCCUCCGCCGCCACCCGCGAGCUGCUGCGGCUCGGCUCCGACACUACAGGCUACACGCGACGCGACGAGGCGCGCGCUCCUCCGCUCCGAUCCACCACGCGCCGCGCGCCCGGCCGGCCGCACGCUGCUGGCCGUUGCCGUCCGUCACAGCAGGUGCCUCGUCCUGCGCCGCCACACGGGCUGCUGGCUUCCGAGUUCAGCGACCGCCACCACCCCACCACACCUGCCGCGGCCGCGGUGCUUCGACGCCAGGCCCCCCGAGAUCCCGAUCGCCCAUCGAGCGCCGCCCGCUAGCUAGUCGUGGCCGUCCGCCUCCGCCGUCAGCUGUGGGUUCCUCCUCUCCGUAUCUGGAUCCUGGAGUUCUUCGUCGCCUGCUAUCUGCUCUGAUUUUAGUCGAUUGCUGCUGGGAAUUUUAUACCAUUCAAGAUGGCUCCAACAAGGAAAGGAAAAAAAAUUGAAAUUCCCAUCAACAAGGAAACUGAUGCUGUGUUUCCAAUGGGGCACCAUGCAUGGUGAUGUCAUGGUUUGUUUAUCAAGGAAUUACAGGAGAUUGAUUGUGUACAAGAAGCUGAUUCAUAGUACCGUUCUGCACUAUGCUGCAAUCAACUGUGGAGAUUUCACUUUGCAGUAUUGCGCUGCUCAGCUUGUACAGAGAUUGGAUGAUGCAGAACAUAUGUAUGGACUCCUGACAGAUGUCAGCACCCGAAUAUACUUAAACCAACUGGUUUUUGGCUCUGGGAACACUUUGAUGCGCUGAAGAAGCAUAACAAGGCUGAGGCUUUUAUCACAUCCUCUUAUUGAUGGGUCACUAUUGGAUGUCCCCAUGGAAGACUUAUUUUUGAUAGAGAAGUUUAUUGAAAACUAGGAAGGUAGCCCGCGCAUUCGCGCGGGCAUGUGUCCUAUGCUAAGUUUGAGAUAUUUGUAAGAGUGAAAUGUUACAUCUACCACAAUUUCUCCAUAAAUUGUUUUCAUCGGCAUUAAUUGCUUUUA